UAACAGCAGCGGCAGCAGCAACAUCAUAAACUAUACUGUCGUGUUGCUCAGGCCCCAAACGUUUCUAAGGCGCACAUUGAAAUUUUGCAAGUAGCUGAAGACCGUAGUGAAGAAGCGAGGCGUUGUGACACCCAAUGCGGCACAGACCGUCGGAAAAGCUGAGCGAGCGCGGCCGCCGAUAUCGCUGUGAGCGGCAAGACAGCCAAUGGAUUGUUGAUAGCGGCGCGGCCGUUGCUCAGCGCUGUGCCGCAGGUUGUUAGCUGUAAGCGUUGCGCUGUGAGUGGCAGUCGUCGCUGCAUUAACUGAGGCAGCCUCAGCGGUUCCAAGCGGUUCCGUGCACCGUUUACUUAUAUAUUUAUAAUCUACUUGUGGAACUUAUAUUAAGGUAGAGUACCCCUAUUAUUUUCGCCUUAAAACGAUGUCAACGAAAACGAAAUAGCAUUCACGCCAUCAUUCUAGAGAACGCAGUAAACACAAUUUAAUCUUAUGUAUUAAAUAUCGUUGUAUGGUGACUAACGAUUCAAACCUAUGUUCAUAUAAAGUUUUUUGGUCUUUGUAAUAAGCCAAUGGGUUCGUCAGUAGUUUUUCUGCCGCCAGUGUAGUAAAAAAAAAAACUAUUAUUAAGAAUGUUAUUAAAUAACAAGUAAUUAAAUUAAAAUAGUCAAAAUAAAAAUUUAAACGAAAUAUAAUAAUAAAAAAAAGUUAUUAAAAGAAAAUUAAUUACUAUUAAAAUUAUAAUAAUUAAAAAUCAUAUUAAAAAUUUUGGUUUUAAUUAAAAAAUAAAUGUUCGGCUGCUAAAUAUAUAAUUCUUUUAAAACUUUCUUGAAAUUUAAUAAAAUGCAUUGCAAUUGAUCAAUGCUAACGC